rnacentral:rRNA from 1 species
GACGAACGCUGGCGGCGUGGAUUAGGCAUGCAAGUCGAACGGUAGGAUACCUUCGGGUAUCUGAGAGUGGCGAACGGGUGAGUAACACGUAGGUGAUCUACCCUCAAGAUUGGGACAACCCAGGGAAACUUGGGCUAAUACCGGAUGAAAGCAGCAGUGAUGUUGUUUGAAAGGUGGCGUAAGCUGCCGUUUGGGGAUGAGCCUGCGCUCUAUUAGUUAGUUGGCGGGGUAAAGGCCCACCAAGGCGAUGAUAGAUAGGCGGCCUUAACGGGUGGUCGCCCACACUGGGAUUGAGAUACGGCCCAGACUCCUACGGAGGCAGCAGUCGAGAAUAGUCUACAAUGGCCGAAAGGCUGAUAGUGCGACGCCGCGUGAACGAAGAAGCCCUUCGGGGUGUAAAGUUCUUUCGGCCGGAAGAAAUCGUAUGGGCUAAACCCUGUGCGGAUGACGGUACGGCAUAAGAAGCACCGGCUAACUACGUAGCCAGCAGCCGCGGUAAGACGUAGCGUG